GGGUUGUGAGGUUAAGCGACUAAGCGUACACGGUGGAUGCCCUGGCAGUCAGAGGCGAUGAAGGACGUGCUAAUCUGCGAAAAGCGUCGGUAAGGUGAUAUGAACCGUUAUAACCGGCGAUGUCCGAAUGGGGAAACCCAGUGCAAUUCGUUGCACUAUCGUUAAGUGAAUACAUAGCUUAACGAGGCGAACCGGGGGAACUGAAACAUCUAAGUACCCCGAGGAAAAGAAAUCAACCGAGAUUCCCCCAGUAGCGGCGAGCGAACGGGGAGCAGCCCAGAGUCU
rnacentral:rRNA from 1 species